GAUGAACGCUGGCGGCGUGCCUAAUACAUGCAAGUCGAGCGAACAGACGAGGAGCUUGCUCCUCUGCCGUUAGCGGCGGACGGGUGAGUAACACGUGGAUAACCUACCUAUAAGACUGGGAUAACUUCGGGAAACCGGAGCUAAUACCGGAUAAUAUAUUGAACCGCAUGGUUCAAUAGUGAAAGCCGGUUUUGCUGUCACUUAUAGAUGGAUCCCCGCCGCAUUAGCUAGUUGGUAAGGUAACGGCUUACCAAGGCAACGAUGCGUAGCCGACCUGAGAGGGUGAUCAGCCACACUGGAACUGAGACACGGUCCAGACUCCUACGGGAGGCAGCAGUAGGGAAUCUUCCGCAAUGGGCGAAAGCCUGACGGAGCAACGCCGCGUGAGUGAUGAAGGUCUUCGGAUCGUAAAACUCUGUUAUUAGGGAAGAACAAAUGUGUAAGUAACUAUGCACGUCUUGACGGUACCUAAUCAGAAAGCCACGGCUAACUACGUG
rnacentral:rRNA from 1 species